rnacentral:misc_RNA from 1 species
AACCUUAUGGACCUGCGGGCGUAUACCUGCGGAGGGAUCAUUACAGAGUUCAUGCCCUCACGGGUAGAUCUCCCACCCUUGAAUACUAUACCUUUGUUGCUUUGGCGGGCCGCUUUGGCUACUGGCUCUGGCUAGUAAGUGCCCGCCAAAGAACCCCAAAACUCUGAAUAUUAGUGUCGUCUGAGUACUAUAUAAUAGUUAAAACUUUUAGCAAUGGAUCU